CUAAUCAGUAGUUAAUAAUAUGACAUAAGAUGUUACCCAUCGUGAUCUACUUUGGCACCUUAUGUUUUAAAACUGUAACUUAUAAAUUAAAUCAAUCAAAAGUGUUAGUAAUAUAUUUAUACACAAUUAAUAAGUUUAUUCUGGGAUUAAACAUAAGUAUUAGUCUUUACUUGAACAACUAAGAAAUUUAUCAACUCAAAAGUUUUCAUAGCAUCGGUUGUAAACUCGUAAUUCAGAAAUAUUCGGGUGAUCGUACAUUAGUACAUAUCUAGUGGAAUUCUUGCUUUUCUUAUGCUUUUCUUGUUUUGGAAUUAGUCUCUCCUUUUAUCCAUCAGAUCAUCACAUGGGUUUUCACUUUCUCUUAUCAUUAUCAAUGGAGUUAGCUGUUACUCAGAAUUCUUACUAUUAUUUCACAUUCAUCUUCAUCUUCAUCUGCUUCUUGAAUCUUGAUCCCUUUAAACCUUUGUUCAUUCUUCCAUUAAACUCUAAAUGGGGUUAUCUUAUCUUAUCUUAUCUUAUCUUGCUCUCAUGGUUGGAAUCAGUGGUCUCGGAAAGUAUACAAAAUUUUGUAGAGAAAUGGUAUUAGCUCAGACAUGAGACACCAUUGUUUACUCUCAUGCUGGAUGGUUCUUGCCAUUAUCUUAUGGCACGAAAUGGCAAAUGAGAUGUAUGUCAAACUUGCAAGAAAAGCCUAUGAUAUGCAAUGCUUAAAUAUGUUGUUACCUCACCUCCUAGAUAGCGCGCUUCACAAUGCUCUAGAAAGUUCUACAAAGAUCAGAAAGAUAUAUGCAAAGAUUUGUUUGUCGAGAUGUGAAGAAUGCAUUUCUUUAUGGUCAUUUCCACAAGACGAUUUACAUGCAACAACCACCUGACUUUGAUCAUGUAUGCCUACUUUAGGAUUGUUCCAUCGGUUGUAUUUAUUUGUGUAUUAUAGCAGCCUACGUUGUACUUUCAAAAAUCAACCUAAUUAUAGCAUUGUAUUUUUGAAUUUUUUAACUUAUUAAGACAUUAUAUUUUGAAAUAUCUAUCCAAAAUAACAAUGGGGAUUGCGAUUA